rnacentral:rRNA from 1 species
CAGUCGAACGGAGCUUAAAGAGCUUGCUUUUUAAGCUUAGUGGCGAACGGGUGAGUAACGCGUGAGUAACCUGCCCUAGAGUGGGGGACAACAGUUGGAAACGACUGCUAAUACCGCAUAAGCCCACGGUGCCGCAUGACACUGAGGGAAAAGGAUUUAUUCGCUUUAGGAUGGACUCGCGUCCAAUUAGCUAGUUGGUGAGGUAACGGCCCACCAAGGCGACGAUUGGUAGCCGGACUGAGAGGUUGAACGGCCACAUUGGGACUGAGACACGGCCCAGACUCCUACGGGAGGCAGCAGUGGGGGAUAUUGCACAAUGGGGGAAACCCUGAUGCAGCGACGCCGCGUGGAGGAAGAAGGUUUUCGGAUUGUAAACUCCUGUCGUUAGGGACGAUAAUGACGGUACCUAACAAGAAAGCACCGGCUAACUACGUGCCAGCAGCCGCGGUAAAACGUAGGGUGCAAGCGUUGUCCGGAAUUACUGGGUGUAAAGGGAGCGCAGGCGGGAAGACAAGUUGGAAGUGAAAACCAUGGGCUCAACCCAUGAAUUGCUUUCAAAACUGUUUUUCUUGAGUAGUGCAGAGGUAGAUGGAAUUCCCGGUGUAGCGGUGGAAUGCGUAGAUAUCGGGAGGAACACCAGUGGCGAAGGCGGUCUACUGGGCACCAACUGACGCUGAGGCUCGAAAGCAUGGGUAGCAAACAGGAUUAGAUACCCUGGUAGUCCAUGCCG